CCUACGGGAGGCAGCAGUAAGGAAUAUUGGGCAAUGGAGGCAACUCUGACCCAGCCAUGCCGCGUGAAGGAUGAAGGCCCUAUGGGUUGUAAACUUCUUUUGUACGGGAAUAAACCUGGUUACGUGUAACCAGUUGAAUGUACCGUAAGAAUAAGCACCGGCUAACUCCGUGCCAGCAGCCGCGGUAAUACGGAGGGUGCAAGCGUUAUCCGGAUUUAUUGGGUUUAAAGGGAGCGUAGGCGGGAUUGUAAGUCAGUGGUGAAAGCCCGUAGCUCAACUACGGAACUGCCAUUGAUACUGCAGACCUAGAGUACACUUGAAGUGGGCGGAAUGUGUCAUGUAGCGGUGAAAUGCUUAGAUAUGACACAGAACACCAAUUGCGAAGGCAGCUCACUAAAUUGUAACUGACGCUGAGGCUCGAUAGCGUGGGGAUCAAACAGGAUUAGAUACCCUGGUAGUCCACGCCGUAAACGAUGAUUACUCGAUGUUGGCGAUACACUGUCAGCGUCUGNGCGAAGACAUUAAGUUAAUACCACCGUCGGGUAGGUACGGUCGCGAGACGUAGAACGACGAAAGAAGUAGUAGGACGACGUAGAGACGACGACGGACGACGACGACGGAGGGAGGAGG
rnacentral:rRNA from 1 species